rnacentral:rRNA from 1 species
AUUGAACGCUGGCGGCAGGCCUAACACAUGCAAGUCGAAUGGUAACAGGAAACAGCUUGCUGUUUCGCUGACGAGUGGCGGACGGGUGAGUAAUGUCUGGGAAACUGCCUGAUGGAGGGGGAUAACUACUGGAAACGGUAGCUAAUACAGCAUAACGUCGCAAGACCAAAGAGGGGGACCUUCGGGCCUCUUGCCAUCAGAUGUGCCCAGAUGGGAUUAGCUAGUAGGUGGGGUAACGGCUCACCUAGGCGACGAUCCCUAGCUGGUCUGAGAGGAUGACCAGCCACACUGGAACUGAGACACGGUCCAGACUCCUACGGGAGGCAGCAGUGGGGAAUAUUGCACAAUGGGCGCAAGCCUGAUGCAGCCAUGCCGCGUGUAUGAAGAAGGCCUUCGGGUUGUAAAGUACUUUCAGCGGGGAGGAAGGGAGUAAAGUUAAUACCUUUGCUCAUUGACGUUACCCGCAGAAGAAGCACCGGCUAACUCCGUG